AGCUCAGGAAGGCCAGGUAGAAGAGAUGCCUAGAGCCCGGGAUGGGGGAAGGGGUGUGGAACAGCCACGCGCAAACCAGGGGCUCCGCUCUCAGCCCCUCCCCAGGUUCGCCAAGCCCGAGGCUCCCCGAACCCCUUCGUCAGGGCUUUUUAUGGGGGCUGCGUUUCACAGGCAUGAUUGAUCACGGCAUUGGCCAGGGUUAACAUUACUUGGUGAUGAGAGGUGGGAUCCAGAGAAGACCCCCAGCAACUUCGGAGAUUGCAAGGCUGGAAGUAGGGAUUUCAUCUUUUUAGGUGUAUCUUUUUCUGAAGACAUCUUGAUCAACUUUUAGCAGUUUCUGGACAACGAAUCUCAAUAAUGGAUUGGUUUUCCAAACGACUGAAAGCAAAAUAACUUGAACUUUCAAUAUUAUUAUCACAUCUUAAAGGAAGACCAGGGUUGAAGGGAAGAGAAGCUGCUGAGCUGGUAAGAUGGCCACACAACAACCAAAGACUUAGGAGUGGGAGUCCAAGGUCUUGUUCAUCAGGUCCUGCAAUCAUUCAUUCAUCCCACCAGCCUAUUUGGGCACUUUUCACGCACACUGACCAUCAUUAGUGGGGCAGCCCAUGCUGGACUCUGACUUGAGUCCAAAUUGGGUUUCAUCAUUUAUGGACGAUGUAUAAGUUCUGUCCUUUAGUCUUAUCUUUCUCAUCUGGAAAACAGGGAUAAUAAAUAACAACACCUUCUUGAA